rnacentral:lncRNA from 1 species
GAUUAAGGCAGCCCAACUUUCUAUAUGUCCCUUCUGAGGGAGAGAUGAAAGUAUGACAGUGAAUUUCUGGAGAUUGGAAUGGGUCCCUGAAAGGGCCAGGACCACUCAUUCUUUCAUUCAUUGAGUAUUUGUCUGCACUGGUCUUGCAUGUUUAACUGCUUCUUCCAUAGUUACCAUCAAGAGAGUCCUCAAAGAUACCUGAAACUCAGCUUAAACUGCUUUGAGAGUAUCUCCAGAUUCCAUUGCUUUUUCCCAAUAUUAAAUCUUAUAUUAGCAUGCAUUUGACCCCAAUAUAUACAGUGAAAGGCAUACUUCUUUUAUUCUCUACUAUGUCUCAGCUUAUGUGUAAUUUAGGUAAGUGUUCCAUGUUCCGUUUAGAAGAUGCAAUCAAAUGUUGAAUAAAUGAGAUGAUAUAUUUUCAUUGCUCAUAUACCCCACCUACAUUUGAUAGAAUAUUCCAUCUCAGUUGUUACUGAAAUCUCCAGGCUUAUGUUAAGUACUGGGUAUCUUUGGACAAUCACAGCGACUAUUCAGAUCUUCUCUGUACAUACUGGUCCCCACUGAUGGCACAUUCAUUGUCCAAGGCUUUUAAUGGCUAGCACCCCUGCUGAUUCUGGACCAGAUUGAGAAGCAGGGGUUUCUGUCCAUGCUGGGAGCCCUGGAAUGGCCUUCAUCAAAUACCACAUUGCCAUUUCUUCUGCGAUUCUGUCAUUCCCUGGGCACUGUCAAGGAACAGGGUACCUAUACUCUCUACUUGUAGAAACUGUUAAAUUCUAAUAGCCCUACCAGUUUUGAGGACUUUGCCUUGAAGCUCUAAAUACCUCUUUAUUUCUGUUUUCUACACUCAGAGUCAUUUCCAUUUUAAGACAGUUUAAUUCUUUUCUUCCUUUAGCCUUGGUUUUAGUUGAAUCCCUGGGUCACAUUGCCCUAGGAAGGCUGCAUGCAUGCAU